GAUGGGAAACCUGCUAGCAGGACUUUCUCUAGCUUUGCAGAGAGUUAUUUUUCCCUUUCCUUUUUGUCCAAUACAUUCCGUUCCCCCUCACACUUCAAAGUGUCUUCGUGCCUAACUUUUCCUGGUCGUGUGACAAGAACCUGGCUUUUUCUACAGUUUCGUCUGGAGUGGAGCACAAUACAUUUGCAUUUCUAGCAAGUUCCCAGGUGAUGCUGGUAGAGCACACGCCCAGAACCACCGCCAGGUACACAAGUCACUGGACAAGGUGGGAAGGCAUCUUACUCAAUCAAUGGACCUUAUUCUAAAGCGGGAAGGGCACUGAGAGGAGGGUAUCUCUCAAAUGAGGAGUCUACGACCUGCUUCAGGGGAAGGCCAACAACUUCUUGGAUUUUAUGACCUGCUUCAGGGGAGAAGGACAAGGGAAGUACAGCGCCUACAACAAUGCAAAGGCUAGAAGGAAUGAAGGCAGGGACAUGGAAUGGAGAAUUUCCAUUUCACGGAUCCACAUAAACUGAAAAGGAACAAGAGUCGGUGAGACCAAAGAGCACUGAAGGCCAUGAACCACCACCAUUCUCAACCCCUGGGCCAGGCAAGAAAAGCCACGGUUCCUGGAAGGGAUGACGACAGGCCUUUCCUCUCAUUAAACCUUUUGUACUCCUAACUCCAUCUUACCAUCUGUUUUAUGGAGGACCUAACAGACACAGUGACCAAAGCUACAGGGGCCUCCAGAGGAAACGGUGAGAACCACAGGAGAAAGGGGGUCUUUGCUGCUGACGGCGAGCACCCAAGCCCAAGCUCCCAGUGGUGAUCUCUCACAAGACCACACAGCCGAUUUCCCUGGAGACAGCACAACCUGUUAAGGGCAUCUUCCAUGCCAUUAAGGGCUUACUGAAUUAUUUUCAUCCAUGCCCUUUUAAAAUAUGGUUGGUAGAAAUUUGCCAUUUGAGACUAGAAUCCCAUUCGGAAUCAUGUAAGUCUCUUUUGACUCCACGAGGACAUCUUUCACCCAGUUUUGGGAAAUCUGAGGAAUGGAUUCUUCUACAGACUGAUAAAAUAUCACAAGGUCCAAGAGUUUGUGUGAGAAAGAGGACAUCAAGUGAUGGAUGUGAACGUGGUAGACAUACAAUGGAAGGCAAGAAGGUAUCUCAACACAGCAGAACAAGACCCCAUGAGGAGCCCAGAAAAAAAAUAAAGAAGGUUCCUCACUGGUUAGGAAUUCAAAAGCAGUCCUGGCAACCUCAUAGCAUCUUUACCUCAGAAGCAGGCAGCUCUGGUUACUCCACCAUUUUCAGGAACAAGGUUUUUCUCUCCCCCUCUGCUGCAUUUCCUCUGCGGCUCCUGAUCCAUCUGCCUCUACCUUCUUCCUAGCAUCAAAUUUCCUCCCAGGAGACAACAUGAAUGGGUUAAGAAGUACCCAAUGAGGGCUGCUCCAACUGGACAGCAUCUUUGAAACUGGGACCUCACAGAUGGUCAUCACAGGCCCCUGAUGCCUGGGUACCCAGCGACCAACCCCAGUCUAGUCUGUCUAUAGCAACAUAGGUGAAGGGGAGUCUCAGGGGCUGCCUAAAGGGCUCAGAAUGUGGUGAGUACUUAAGACUGCAUGGAUUUUCACUGUUUACAUGAAUAUAGGACAAGUAUUCACAGAACUAUUAGCUAGAUCUGUGAACAAAACAUUAAUAACAUUGUAUGUCCAUGUCUGAACCCCUGAAAUUCCAACAACCACCACCCGCCUACCAACUUGCAGCAAACCGGCUCUCUCCACAGUCUUCCCCAGAUCAGGGAGAAACAAUUCCAUCCUUCCAGUACUCAGACUGUAAAACUGGAUUCAUUCUGAUUCCUCUCUCACACAUCCCACACCUGAUCUGACAGGAAAUCCUAUAAACUCUGCCAUUAAAAUAUAUCCAGAAACAGGCCAGGCACAAUGGCUCAUGCCUCUAAUCCCAGCACUUUGGGAGGUCGAGGCGGGCGGAUCAUGAGGUCAGGAGUUCGAGACCAGCUUGGCCUACAUGGCAAAACCCUGUCUCUACUAAAAAUACAAAAAUUAGCUAGGUGUGGUGAUGCACACCUGUAAUCCCAGCUACUUGGGAGGCUGAGCUAGGAGAAUCACUUGAACCCGGGAGGCACAGGCUGCAGUAAGCCAAGAUCGUGCCACUGCACUCCAGCCUGGGCGACAGAGUAAGACUCUGUCUCAAAAAAAAAAAAUAUAUAUAUAUAUAUAUAUAUGUCCAGUAAUGUGCAACUUUCACAGUCUCCACCAGGAUCAUCACAGUCUAACCACUGCUUCCUCCAGCCUGAACUUACUGCAAGAGGCCACUCACUGGUCUCCAGGCAUCCACUCUUGCUUCCCCCACGCACCCCACCACCAGUGUCUAUUCUCAACAGAGCAGCCAAAAUUGUCCUUUUAAACAUUGGUUGGAUUGUGUCUUCUGUCUGUUCAAAACUCUCCAGUAUGUCCACAUGGAUCUCAAAAUAAAACCAAAGUUCUGGCCAGGCACAGUGGUUCGUGUCUGUAAUCCCAGCACUUUGGGAGGCUGAGAAGGGAGGGUGGCUGGAGCCCAGGAAUUCAAGACCAGCCUGGGCAACAUGGCAAAACCCCAUCUCUCCAAAAAAUACAGAAAUUUGCUAGGCGAGGUGAUGUGUGUUUGUAGUCCCACCUACUCAGGAGGCUGAGGUGGAAGGAUCACUUGAACCCAGGAGGUUGAGGCUGCAAUGAGCUGUGAUCACGUCACUGCACUCCAGCCUGGGUGACAGAAUGAGACUCUGCCAAAAAAAAAAAUUCAAAGUUCUUACCACAGCCUACAAGACCUGCCAUGACCUGGUCCUUCCUACCACCUGUCUCAUCUUUGCACUCUCACUCACUCUGUACCAACCACACUGGCCUCCUGGAUGUUUCUGGAACAUACCAAACAUGCUCUAAUCACCAGUCUUUGCACUGGAUUUUUCUUCAUUCUGGGAUGUUCUUCCCUUGGAACUCCACAGGGCUAACCCCCACAGUUCCUGCACAUCUAUCAAUGAUGUUUAACAAACCACCCCACUUCGCCUCUGCAGUAUUCCCAAUCGCCACACCUGCCCUGUGUGGUAUUUUAUCACAUACCAUGUAAUUAACUUAUUUGCUAUCUUUAGGAAAAGGGUUUUUUUUUAAAUUUUUUGUUUGCAUGUUUUGUUUUCUUUUUGCUUUUGGUAUCUCUUCCCCUGGUAGAAUGAAAGCUCCGUGAGAAAACCUAGACGAAUCUCUGAAACUUAAUGCUCAAUAAAUGUUUGUUGGUGAAUGCCUGAUUUACAGGACAGCUGAAGCAGUUUAUUAAUUUAGAAGAGCUUAUUAAUUUAGAAGUUAUCAACUAUUGUAAAACUUCCACUGCAGUUUGAAGUUUGAUGUGAUGGGUUGAAAAAAACCACAAUUAGCAAAGUGCACUCUCCUUUUUUUCUAUUUAUCUUCUAAUCACCAGUCUGCUCUGAUGCUGAUUGACACACAGAUACUGAUGUGUUGUUUCCCAUAAAUUCACAAGCCAGUGAGUCAGUCCUUCAGGUAAUAAACAGAUGGCUGUCGGCCAGGUGAGAUGAAAAGGCAUGGUUGCCAUCCUCGAGGAAUUUACGUGUAGCAUGCGUGAUUUAUUGCACUAAGGUAUAAAUAUAAGGUAUAAGAAAUAUCUUACUGGUUUGUUGUGGUGGUUUCUUGUGAUUUUUUCUGUCUCUAAAUAAAAUUAAAUCUGCUCCAUUCCCUCUGAACCAAGCUUAGGCUGAGAUUCUCUGCUGUGGGUCCC
rnacentral:lncRNA from 10 species